rnacentral:lncRNA from 1 species
AGGGCUGUAAACGAGCCGAGCUCGAGCGAGCUGGGGCCAGCUCGAGCUCGGCUCGAACGUCUUCAGGUCGGCUCGUGUUCGGCUCGAGCUCGUGACGAGCUCAAAAACUCCGGCUCGUGAUCGGCUCGCAACUUAAUCGAGCUAGCUCGUGUUCGGCUCGUUAGCGCCGCUGUCGAAGUUCACUGCCGCUGCCGCUGCCGCUGCCGAAGUUCGCUGCUGGGGCUUUGUUGUCAUGGUGCGACCAUGACCGCGAGUGAGAAGCGUAGGGAUAGGAGGAAGGUAAAGUAGCACUGUAGCAGGGUGAGACAUGGGAGGAUCCAAGGUGAAGAAGGAGACAAGGCGGCGGCGUAAUCUAAAGGAGAGUGGGGUUUCGGGCAACGGGUCUGUAACAACCCUGAAGAAUAAAUGGUAGAGUAGUAGCAGAGGAAGGUAGCAAAAAUAGCAACUUUACUAGUAAAAUAGGAGAAUAAAAAUGGCAGCAGCUCAGUGAUGAAGGAGAAGGAGACAUGGUAGGUCGAGUCGGCGGGAAGCGCCUUCGCAGCGGGCGGAAGGACUACCUGAGGAGGUACCAUGGUGGUUAGGGCAUCCUGGAAGACAAGGUGGAGAAGAAGAUCGAGGUUGAAGGAGGAAAUCCGACAGAGUAUUGGGGAAGGCGGAAGAACUUAAGCGGGUCGAAGCUUCAGGAUCUCGGAGCGGAGGCAAAACGCGGACCCAGUACCCGCCGGGUUGCGGAUAGUGCAAAGAAGGCGAGCCCAAGAACCGUUUACCCGACUUCCAGGCGGUUUGGACCAAACAAGCCCACCCAAGGCCCACAAGGCAACCCGAAUUCAACCCAUCAGGCCUCAAUUCCCAUUUGUGUCAAAUUGCUGUUAAGCCCUCGUAGGAUAGUUUAAUUUCAAUUCACUACAAGUUGUUGAGACUAUAUAUAUCAGAAUGUAAUAGCAAAGGAGACAUGAAUGAAAAUGAAUUAGUCCCAACCAGGAGAAAGACCCAGCCCAAGCCAAGAUUAGGCCCAAGAUAAUCCAUUUAGAAUGGCUAAAAUUUUAAAAUUAAUAAUCUGUAUUAUAUAUUUAUAUACAAAUAUAAUUAUAUAUAUAAUAUAUAAAAAUUAUAUUAAUAUAAAAUAAAUAUAAUCGAGCUGUU